UGCAUGACACCUGAUUUUGCUCAGAGAGCUAAAGGAAAUUACAUUAAAAAGAUUUAACUUGCCAAGGCCUCACCACUGUAAGCUAUUUAAAAUAGUGGCUGGUGUCACAAACACCUGGGAUUAUUUUGAGGGGCUAUAAAUGACAUCACUGAUAGAACCUUGGCAAUCUGGCCUCAAAAUUUAUUGUCAGGAGUUUCAUUUUCAAUCAGAUAUGUUUCUCAGUGUGAAUCUCACUCACACCUAUUUGUUGGUGCCCAAGGCUAUUUGAAGUGUGUUUAGCAUUUGGUCUUCACCCAAGCAGCUCUUUCUGUCUUAAGAUUAUUUCCCCAUGUACAAAAUGCUGGCCUUAGAAUGAACGUGUUACUGCUUCAGGAUCAUUAUCACUCUGGGUGCUUCCUGCAAGAUUAGUCCUACCACCCAAUUUAUAGAGGAAGCUUCAUAUAGUCUUACUUUAAAAAAGCAUUACAUUUAAAUCUAUAGAACCUCCUGAAAGUAACAAUGGAUAAACGCAGCAGCAGAUGCCAUUUUGUUACAAAAUGUUCAGGGUUCCAAGUCUGAAAAUAAAAUCUACGCUUUCAAUGAGAGAGCCAAAUGGGUAAAACAUCCUCUUUCUGACGGUAAUUUUGGAAAGGUAUUUGCCAUCCCUAGGUGCCCAAUGGUCAUUCAAAGAGGAAAAUGCUAAUGAUAAAAUCUAGAAACCAAACUUCAGGAGGAAUUUAAGGAAGGAGCACCUGAAGACGUGGCACAUGCCACAAAGCAGCUCACACUCAGCGCCCAGCACGACUAUUUGCGCCACUCCCUGUGCAGAGAGUGGGUUCCACUUAUGUGGGGGCGUCUUGUGGGGCCCAUGGAACUCUUUGGCAUCUGUGAUCUCUUCUGGCAUUCAUCGUAAUCCGGGCAGGCAGGGGUUGGUAGCAGUUCUUUUUUGCUGGUGAAUUCAAUACCAACCCCCAAAUGGGAUGUGGCAGAAAGGGCUCCCAUGAGGGAAUCUAUCAAACCACCAGGAAGAGUAGUUUUCAGAUGCUCAGAAUAUUGUCAUCAGCAUAAUUUAAUUCGGGGAGCACCAAACAAUCAAACUUUACAAGAUGAUGAAUUUCCCAUCAGUACGUUUCUGAACGUCUCUUAGGCCAGUCCAUCGCUGGAUUUCUUAUUCCUAAGAAAUGUAAGGCUUAGAGAGACCAAGCAUUGUGAAAUCA
rnacentral:lncRNA from 1 species